rnacentral:lncRNA from 1 species
UGUUAUCUCCGUCCUGGUUCCUCCAUUUCCGCUAGGGUUCUGAAACACUGUCGGUGCCGAUCCCAUUCCCGGUAGCCAUUGAGGAUGUUUAGUCAAAGCUGGUGUUACCUCCUUCGCCAACUCCGGUGAUACCAGGUUCACCUGAUUUCUCUUCCUUUCCCUCGCCAUUGCUGGAGGCGUAGGUUAGCGCCUUGCUAACAUGCGGCGAGAGCUAUUAGAGAGAGAAAGUAAAAAUGUCA